GUUAUGGCUCAGUGGUAGAGCACUUGCCUGAGAUGUGUGAGGCACUGGGUUUAAUCCUCAGUACAACA
rnacentral:tRNA from 1 species